rnacentral:rRNA from 1 species
UGCUCGAGUUGCGAACGGGUGAGUAACACGUGAGUAACCUGCCCUUGACUUUGGGAUAACUUCAGGAAACUGGGGCUAAUACCGGAUAGGAGCUCCUGCUGCAUGGUGGGGGUUGGAAAGUUUCGGCGGUUGGGGAUGGACUCGCGGCUUAUCAGCUUGUUGGUGGGGUAGUGGCUUACCAAGGCUUUGACGGGUAGCCGGCCUGAGAGGGUGACCGGCCACAUUGGGACUGAGAUACGGCCCAG